GCCCAGCGUGAUCAGCGGCGCGGUGGAGAAGCCGAACUCCUCGGCGCCCAGAGCGCAGGCGAUGGCCACGUCACGGCCGGUGCGCAGCUGGCCGUCGACCUGGAGGGUGGUGCGGCCGCGCAGGUCGUUGGCGACCAGCGUCUGGUGCGUCUCCGCCAGGCCCAGCUCCCAGGGCAGGCCGGCGUGCUUGAUGGACGACCACUUGGCCGCGCCGGUGCCGCCGUCGUGGCCGCUGAUGAGCACGUGGUCAGCAUGGCCCUUGACCACGCCGCUGGCCACCACACCCACACCGUUCUCGCUGACCAGCUUGACGCUGUGAGGGGUAGAAGGCAGGGGUGGUGAGGUAAGUUCCAGGCCCAGAUGGAGACACGGGAUAGCAUCAGCAGCAAUUGUGGGCACUGACAUCAAAGUCUUGACUCUGGUAAUUCCACACGCCACUUCACAACUCGCAACGUCCGUUACAGGCUGCCCACCUGACGCGGGCCGACGGGUUGGAGCUCUUCAGGUCGUAGAUCAGCUGCGCCAGGUCCUCAAUCGAGUAGAUGUCGUGGUGCGGCGGCGGGCUGAUCAGGCCCACGCCGGCCGUGGAGCCACGGGUGACGGCAAUGUCGCCCUUGACCUUGUCGCCAGGCAGCUCACCACCUUCGC
rnacentral:lncRNA from 1 species